CCUUCGAUAGCUCAGUUGGUAGAGCGGAGGACUGUAGAUCCUUUAAUCGCUGGUUCAAAUCAGGCUCGAAGAA
rnacentral:tRNA from 1 species